rnacentral:rRNA from 1 species
UACGUAGGGUGCAGAGUCGAUGAAUGAUCUGGGCGUAAAGCGUGCGCAGGCGGUUUUGUAAGCCAGAUGUGAAAUCCCCGGGCUUAACUUGGGAACUGCCGUGGAUACUAUCAAUCUUGAAUAUCGUGGAGGUAAGCGGAAUAUGUCAUGUAGCGGUGAAAUGCUUAGAUAUGACAUAGAACACCAAUUGCGUAGGCAGCUUACUACACGAUCAUUGACGCUGAGGCACGAAAGCGUGGGGAUCAAACAGG